UAAAUUUGACUUUUUCAUCAAUAUAUAUUCCAAAACAAUCACGAGCCACAGUCCAUCUAGAUGGAAUUUUAAAUUUAGGUAAUAUGCUCAACCU